AUUGAACGCUGGCGGCAUGCCUUACACAUGCAAGUCGAACGGCAGCACGGGUGCUUGCACCUGGUGGCGAGUGGCGAACGGGUGAGUAAUACAUCGGAACGUACCUUAUCGUGGGGGAUAACGCAGCGAAAGCUGUGCUAAUACCGCAUACGCCCUGAGGGGGAAAGCGGGUGAUCGCAAGACCUCGCGCGAUUAGAGAGGCCGAUGCCUGAUUAGCUGGUUGGUGGGGUAAAAGCCCACCAAGGCGACGAUCAGUAGCUGGUCUGAGAGGACGAUCAGCCACACUGGGACUGAGACACGGCCCAGACUCCUACGGGAGGCAGCAGUGGGGAAUUUUGGACAAUGGGGGCAACCCUGAUCCAGCAAUGCCGCGUGAGUGAAGAAGGCCUUCGGGUUGUAAAGCUCUUUUGUCAGGGAAGAAACACCGGCUCUAACACAGUCCGGGAAUGACGGUACCUGAAGAAUAAGCACCGGCUAACUACGUGCCAGCCGCCGCCGUAA
rnacentral:rRNA from 1 species